rnacentral:lncRNA from 1 species
CAAACUGUCAGCGCUAUCUAAAAGGGUCUAAAUGGCCAACUCAAACCCUACGUGUACCUUCGGAGGAAUUCGGCAUCUAGCUCGCCCAGGAGGGGCCUGACGUGGAGACAUACAGUGGGAGAGAAAGUUGUAAAACGUGGACUUCCUGAAUGGUGCUCUUCCUGUUUCCAGGCCUAUCCGGGAGAGAGAGAGAGUGGUCUCAGUGUGCUUGUUCCAAGCUUCCAGCGCUGGGUCAGAGGACUGAGGGGUGAGCAGCUGACACUAUGUCAAGAGUGGAGGGUGACUACGUCAACAUGUGGUUAUGCACCUGUAAUAACAACUGUCCACCCGUUCAUACACAACGUCGUACACCUAGGAGCUACAUUCUGACCAGGACCUGAGCCCUAGGACCAUGCCUCAGGACUACCUGACAUGAUGACUCCUUGCUGUCCCCAGUCCACCUGGCCGUGCUGCUGCUCCAGUUUCAACU